GACGAACGCUGGCGGCGUGCUUAACGCAUGCAAGUCGAACGGUGAAGCCCUUCGGGGUGGAUCAGUGGCGAACGGGUGAGUAACACGUGAGCAACCUGCCCCUGGCUCUGGGACAACCACUGGAAACGGUGGCUAAUACCGGAUACGACCCGCCUCGGCAUCGAGUGUGGGUGGAAAGUUUUUCGGCUGGGGAUGGGCUCGCGGCCUAUCAGCUUGUUGGUGAGGUGAAGGCUCACCAAGGCGACGACGGGUAGCCGGCCUGAGAGGGCGACCGGCCACACUGGGACUGAGACACGGCCCAGACUCCUACGGGAGGCAGCAGUGGGGAAUAUUGCACAAUGGGCGAAAGCCUGAUGCAGCGACGCCGCGUGAGGGAUGACGGCCUUCGGGUUGUAAACCUCUUUCAGCUCCGAAGAAGCGAAAGUGACGGUAGGAGCAGAAGAAGCACCGGCUAACUACGUG
rnacentral:rRNA from 1 species